GAUGUACGCUAGCGGGAGGCUUAACACAUGCAAGUCGAGGGGCAUCACGAGGUAGCAAUACUUUGGUGGCGACCGGCGCACGGGUGAGUAACGCGUAUGUAACCUACCCUGUACAUGGGGCUAGCCCGGAGAAAUUCGGAUUAAUACCCCAUAAUGAUAUCUGGAGGCAUCUUUAGAUAUUUAAAGCUUCGGCGGUACGGGAGGGGCAUGCGUGACAAUAGCUAGUUGGUGAGGUAACGGCUUACCGAGGGUGCGAGGUUUAGGGGUCCUGAGAGGAUGGUCCCCCACACUGGUAGUGAGACACGGCCCAGACGCCUACGGGAGGAAGCAGUGGGGAAUAUUGGACAAUGGGCGAAAGCCUGAUCCAGCCAUGCCGCGUGCAGGAUGAAGGCCUUCGGGUUGUAAACUGCUUUUGUACGGGGCGAAAAGGUUUGGCCUAAUAAGCUGAGCUCAUGACGGUACCGUAAGAAUAAGCACCGGCUAACUACGUGCCAGCCGCCGCCGUAACAC
rnacentral:rRNA from 1 species